CAAUUGUCUGGGUACCAAUAUUGAGUUACAUUGGUUACAUCGUCCUGAUUUCAAGUCAUCAGGAAGUUGGGGGAAAAAAAAGAAAUACAAAAUAAACGAAGAGAAAAUAGGAAGAAAUUAAUGAUCACAAAGCACGUUCAGUAAAACAGAAAAAAGGAGUUGAUAUAUGGAGCCAUAAUUUGAUUUCUAGAAAAUAUACAUUGUCGUGGGAAGAUGUGAGAUGAACUGGGCUCCUCCCCUGACAAACUCCUAGUAAUGGCUUCGUCUUCUCUACUUUAAGAAAUAACCUCACUAGAAGUCAGAGGAAAUCAAAAAGGCGAUAAAGUUAUUACAUGCAGAUGCGAGCUCUGGCAUUGCUGCACCCAUCUUGUCACACCUGAAGAUGAAACCUACACAAAGAAAAGGGUAGAACCAAGAGAACAGAAGAGAAAUAAAACUAGAACAAUCAGAUUGUCUCGUUUGGAACCUAGCCCAUCUGUGGAUUUCCAGUCACGUGAGUCUAUCUGGGCCUGAUAUCCAAGACGGCUCACUCACAUGGCUGAGAAUCCAUGCUGGGUGUCAGCUGGGA
rnacentral:lncRNA from 1 species